rnacentral:rRNA from 1 species
AACGAACGCUGGCGGCAUGCCUAACACAUGCAAGUCGAACGAGACCUUCGGGUCUAGUGGCGCACGGGUGCGUAACGCGUGGGAACCUGCCCUUAGGUUCGGAAUAACUCCCCGAAAGGGGUGCUAAUACCGGAUAAUGUCUUCGGACCAAAGAUUUAUCGCCUUUGGAUGGGCCCGCGUUGGAUUAGCUAGUUGGUAGGGUAAAAGCCUACCAAGGCGACGAUCCAUAGCUGGUCUGAGAGGAUGAUCAGCCACACUGGGACUGAGACACGGCCCAGACUCCUACGGGAGGAGGCGGGGGGGAAUAUUGGAAAGGGGGCAAAGGCCUGACCCAGCAAUGCCGGGUGAGGAAAGAAGCCCUUGGGGUUGAAAAGCUUUUUUCCCGGGGAUGAUAAGGACGGUACCGGGGAAAAAGGCCCCGGCAAACCCCGUC